UCCAGAUUCUCACCUGUCAGUUUUCUUAAGGUUUAGGCUAUGUAUAAACACAAGUAAUAGCAUAUGGUUUUUGGGUGUCUAUAAUGGGCCAAUUAUCAUAGUACUCUGUACAUAUACUUUUGUCCUCAUCCUUCCAACAGCCUUUCAAAGUAGAUGUUUUUAUCUUCAUUUUACAGAUGAGAAAGAAGUGAAGGGACUUACGGAAGGACUCUCGCGCAGCUGAGCAAGUAUCCAGAGUGGCGGUGGGAUUACUUUAAGAAUGUGUCUGUUCCUUUCCCUCAAGACGCUGUCCCUACUGAAGAGCUAACUCAUGUUUAGCAUGAGCUAAGUACAUUGGCCCCAAUUCCUAUUGCCAGUGAUUGGUUUAGGAUGGGCAUAUGACUCAGUUCUGGACAAUAUGAUAAGAGAAGGGCUGGAGGGCUUUUGGAAAAUGUUCCUCCCUAAAUGGUAUCUCCUACGUUGGAAAGAACUGAUGUACAAUGACAAAUAUGUAAUGUCUAGAUCAGUGAUGAGAGCCACUUUGUAGAUGUCCUACCUAAUAAAAGCAAUUUAUCUUCUUCAAGUCA